CAGUCGUACUUAUGGGUAAUCAGCCUUUUGGGUGUGAUUUUGUGGUAGCGUGAGGAGCUAAUCGCCUUCAUCUUUGCAUAUUCGUGCACUUUGGGNUACUUGCUCGUGUGGUAGGUU
rnacentral:rRNA from 1 species